GUCUAUGGCCAUGCCACCCUGAACAUGCCCAAUUUCAUCUGAUCUCAGAAGCUAAGCAGGCUCAGGCCUGGUUAGUACUUGGAUGGGAGACCACCUAGGAAGACCUAGGUGCUGUAGGCA
rnacentral:rRNA from 1 species